UCCUGCUGCUCUUUUGUGUUACUUCCUGCGGUAAAACAGCAAAUUUCGAGCCAACACAGACUGUAGCGAGUGCGCUGCUUCGCCCCUGGGUACACAGCAUCUCUAUGUGAAGAGAGUCUGAUGGAGUCUGAUGCCCUGCAGUAAUGGCUAGCCAUACCUGGUCAUAGCAGCCUUCUCAUUGCCUCAGGCAACUGCUAAGCAAUUCCACUCUGAAUACAAUGGGCUGCAGGCACAGUGAGACGUGUUCAAAGUCACAAGUGUGCCAUAAAACACCCAGCGGACAACAGAAGAAU